GGGGUGAUCUACCCAUGGCCAGGUUGAAGCACGUGUAAGAGCGUGUGGAGGACCGCACCCGCCUCAGUUGAAAAUGGGGGGGAUGAGCUGUGGGUAGGGGUGAAAGGCCAAUCAAACCCCGUGAUAGCUGGUUCUCCCCGAAAUGCAUUUGGGUGCAGCGUCCCGUGCUCCCCGGCGGAGGUAGAGCUACCGGUUGGCUGAUGGGCCCCACAGGGUUACUGGCGUCAGCCGAACUCCGAAUGCCGUCGGGCGGUGAGCGGGGCAGUGAGACCGCGGGGGAUAAGCUUCGCGGUCGAGAGGGGAACAGCCCGGAUCGCCGGCUAAGGCCCCCAAGCGCGCGCUAAGUGGGAAAGGAUGUGCGGUCGCGGUGACAACCAGGAGGUUGGCUCAGAAGCAGCCAUCCUUGAAAGAGUGCGUAAUAGCUCACUGGUCAAGUGGUCGUGCGCCGACAAUUGAGCGGGGCUCAAGCGCGCCGCCGAAGCCGCGGAUCCGCCGCGAUAGGGCCCGGCCGCCCCCUGUGGGGGGGUGGUGGGGCGCGGCGGGUGGUAGGGGAGCGUCCCGCGCCGGGUGAAGCCGCCGGGUGACCGGGGGUGGACGGCGCGGGAGUGAGAAUGCAGGCAUGAGUAGCGAUACUGGGGUGGGAGUCCCCAGCGCCGUAUGACCAAGGGUUCCAGGGCCAGGCUGGUCCGCCCUGGGUGAGUCGGGACCUAAGGCGAGGCCGACGGGCGUAGUCGAUGGAUGACGGGUUGAUAUUCCCGUACCGGACCGGAUACCGACCGUGCCGACGCGCGGGUGCUGACCCACGCCCCGCGCCGCCCGUGUACGCCCCCGCGUCCCGGUCUUCGGGCCGGGCGGGGGCGGGGCGGCGGGGGUCUGGGGACCCUCCGCGCAGGUAGGCAAGCGUAUUAACAGGGGUGACGCGCAGUGGUGGCCCCGCGGGUCUGAUGGCUCGGCCCGUUCAAGCGCGCGGCCCGCCGCCCAGGCAAAUCCGGGCGGCUGCCUUCGAUGGCGGGGGUGAGGCGCGAUGGUGACCCGGCCCGACCGGCCGGGGAAGCAGGGUGAUCCUGUGGCGCCGAGAAAAGCCUCGACGCGAGGGGCCGGUCCGCCCGUACCCCAAACCGACACAGGUGGUCGGGCAGAGCAUGCCCAGGCGCACGGGCGAACCGUGGUGAAGGAACUCGGCAAAACGCCCCCGUAACUUCGGGAGAAGGGGGGCCCGAACCCUGAAACGGCUGGCCCGUUGGGGGUGAGGGUCGCAGAGGCCAGGGGGGAGCGACUGUUUACUAAAAACACAGGUCCGUGCGAAGCCGCAAGGCGAUGUAUACGGACUGACGCCUGCCCGGUGCUGGAAGGUCAAGAGGACCCGUCAGCCCCCCUUGCGGGGGUGAAGCGGUGAAUUCAAGCCCCAGUGAACGGCGGUGGUAACUAUAACCAUCCUAAGGUAGCGAAAUUCCUUGUCGGGUAAGUUCCGACCUGCACGAAUGGCGUAACGACUCCCCCGCUGUCUCCACCACGGGCCCGGCGAAAUUGCAUUACGAGUAAAGAUGCUCGUUGCGCGCAGAAGGACGGAAAGACCCCGGGACCUUCACUGCAGCUUGGUAUUGGCGCCCGGUUCGGCUCGUGCAGGAUAGGUGGGAGACUGUGAGGCCGCCGCGUCAGCGGCGCGCGGAGUCGUCGUUGAGAUACCACUCCGGCCGUGUCGUGCGCCUGAACCUGGGCCCGUGAUCCGGGUCAGGGACAGUGCCUGGCGGGUAGUUCAACUGGGGCGGUUGCCUCCCAAAGGGUAACGGAGGCGCUCAAGGGUCCCCUCAGCCUGGUCGGCAACCAGGUGUCGAGUGCAAGUGCACAAGGGGGCUUGACUGCGAGACCGACGGGUCGGGCAGGUGCGAAAGCAGGAACUAGUGAUCCGGCG
rnacentral:rRNA from 1 species